UACGGGGGGGGCAAGCGUUGUUCGGAAUUACUGGGCGUAAAGGGCUUGUAGGUGGCCAACUAAGUCAGACGUGAAAUCCCUCGGCUUAACCGGGGAACUGCGUCUGAUACUGGAUGGCUUGAGUGUGGGAGAGGGAUGCGGAAUUCCUGGUGUAGCGGUGAAAUGCGUAGAUAUCAGGAGGAACACCGGUGGUGUAGACGGCUUUCUGGACAAUCACUGACGCUGAGGUACGAAAGCGUGGGUAGCAAACAGG
rnacentral:rRNA from 1 species